rnacentral:lncRNA from 1 species
AGAUCACCUGCGUUGAAUCUCUUGGCUCUCAGCAGCCCUUCUGAGUGGCAAUUCUCUUUGCAAGCUCUGCUUUGUGAGUAAGAAUCAAGACCUUGCUCUGCUAGGAUCUGGAGGUCUUUGGCUGCCGGAGAAACAACGCUUCCAUCUGCUGCACACAGGCAAUGCACAAGAAAGGAAAGGAUGCAAAGGAACCAAAAGAUAUAGCAAAUGGUGCAUGCUCCGUGAAAAUGGUUGCAAUCUACCAAGUAGUUCAAGUGCAGGGCACCAUGUCCUAGGCAUCCCUCAGCUGCCUGGAUACAGAAUGACAGCCUAAGGAGCCAGUAAAGGAGACCUCCCAAAACCAGCUACAUCUGAAUCGUCCCAAUACAGUAUCCCAGACUUGAGAUUGUCCAUACCUGCAACAGUGAUGGCAACUGGCUCCAUCUCUGAGAAAGAAAACCUGCUCACGUACUGGGAAAAAAAACAAAAGAGAAAUAAAAAAUGAAAAGACCAAAAAAAAUAGUGGCA